rnacentral:rRNA from 1 species
CAGUCGCCGCGGGAAUACAGAGGGUGCGAGCGUUAAUCGGAUUUACUGGGCGUAAAGCGUGCGUAGGCGGCUAAUUGAGUCGGAUGUGAAAUCCCCGAGCUUAACUUGGGAAUUGCAUUCGAUACUGGUUAGCUAGAGUGUGGGAGAGGAUGGUAGAAUUCCAGGUGUAGCGGUGAAAUGCGUAGAGAUCUGGAGGAAUACCAAUGGCGAAGGCAGCCAUCUGGCCUAACACUGACGCUGAGGUACGAAAGCAUGGGGAGCAAACAGGAUUAGAUACCCCUGUAGUCCCUGUCUCUUAUAC